rnacentral:rRNA from 1 species
GUGCUAAGCGGGUAGAAGGUGUGGUCGCGGCCUCCGGGGGCUCCCCCCGGGCGGUAGAGGUAACACUCUUACGCGCCACAUGUCUGAAUCCUUUUUUUACGAGCACCUUUCGUUCUCCUUCGGUGGGGCAACCUGCCGUUGGAACUUAUCAAAACCUUUUUUGCAUCUAGCAUUACCUGUUCAGAUACAAACAAUCGUUACAACUUUCAACAAUGGAUCUCUUGGCUCUGGCAUCGAUGAAGAACGCAGCGAAAUGCGAUAAGUAGUGUGAAUUGCAGAAUUCAGUGAAUCAUCGAAUCUUUGAACGCACAUUGCGCCCCUUGGUAUUCCAUGGGGCAUGCCUGUUCGAGCGUCAUCUACACCCUCAAGCUCUGCUUGGUGUUGGGCGUCUGUCCCGCCUCUGCGCGUGGACUCGCCCCAAAUUCAUUGGCAGCGGUCUUUGCCUCCUCUCGCGCAGCACAUUGCGCUUUAGAGGGGUGUGGGCCGCGUCCACGAAGCAACAUUAUCGUCUUUGACCUCGGAUCAGGUAGGGAUACCCGCUGAACUUAAGCAUAUCAACAGCCCGGAGGGAAGA